GAGGGUAUAGCUCAGUGGGUAGAGAGUGUGUUUAAUAUGCAUGAGGUCCUGGGUUCAGUCCCCAGUAUCUCCA
rnacentral:tRNA from 1 species